rnacentral:rRNA from 1 species
GACGAACGCUGGCGGCGUGCUUAACACAUGCAAGUCGAACGGAAAGGCCCUGCUUUUGUGGGGUGCUCGAGUGGCGAACGGGUGAGUAACACGUGAGUAACCUGCCCUUGACUUUGGGAUAACUUCAGGAAACUGGGGCUAAUACCGGAUAGGAGCUCCUGCUGCAUGGUGGGGGUUGGAAAGUUUCGGCGGUUGGGGAUGGACUCGCGGCUUAUCAGCUUGUUGGUGGGGUAGUGGCUUACCAAGGCUUUGACGGGUAGCCGGCCUGAGAGGGUGACCGGCCACAUUGGGACUGAGAUACGGCCCAGACUCCUACGGGAGGCAACAGUGGGGAAUAUUGCAAAAUGGGCGGAAGGCUGAUGCAGCAACGCCGGGGGGGGGAUGGAGGCCUUCGGGGUGGAAACCGCUUUCGCCCGUGACGAAGGGUGAGUGACGGUAAUGGGGAAAGAAGCAACGGCUAACUACGUG